rnacentral:lncRNA from 1 species
GUGGCCAGCACUUAAAUAUCUUGGUGGGAGGACCACCCUCAAGCUACUAGAACCCCUUAGGCUUAAUUGCCUAGAGAACCUAGAGUGCCCAGGUAUUCACUCCCCCAGGACAACCCUUAAUUAAUGCCUGAUAGUAUGCGGGAGGGAUAUACAAAUGGCCCCUGAAAAUAUUGGUCAAAUGAAUAAAGAAACAAAGAAAAGACAGAUGGAUGUGUUUCCCUUAAAUUUGUUGUAAGCCUCCUCCUGUUUCUGCCACAUCGUCUCAGAGGGAAAGGAGUGUCAACUUGAUUCUCCUUCUCUCAUCUUUGUGAGAGAAGCCCUGAGGCUCUGUAAGGAGAUUUUCCCUCCAUCAGCAGGAGAUGGAUAGGCUGGCUUUAAUUUUGCCUCAAUGGAAUAAUUGUAGUAUCUGUCAUAAUCAAAUGCUUAAAAUAUGCCAGUCCCUGAGCUAAGUGUUUUACAUAUAUUAUCUUAUUUAACCUGUAUUACUACCAUAGGAUAUC